UCCAGGGCAGUUAUGCAAUGAAACGUUGAUUGUUCACACUGAAAGAGAAGCUUCUAGCAACACCUUUAAUGGAAAAAUACAGAGAAAACACAAAAGACCAUUGAUGAAAAUGGUGACUGCAUGAAUUACAGCCUUCAUGAGAAAGCUGAAGAGAUUUGGUGAUGUCUGUAGCUUCUUGCUACAGGUAAAACUUCAAUGGUGAUUUCAGGUUGGAAUGUGCAGACUGCUCUAUGAAUGACUUGUGGCCGUGAAGAUGAGCCUAUUAACUUGUUUGCACAUCUCAAUGAACUGGGUUUGUCAGAAAACAGAACUGAAUGCUACAUCUUUUAAUAUUUCUGACAAAACAAGGACAGAGCUAAAGACAGUAGUUUAUAAAACAUAUAGGAAAGAGGGGCAAAAACCUACAAAUACUAGAUUACUCUCUUAAUAUAUACUGAAAGUUCAACCAAGCAUACCUAUUGAUAUUGAUGUGUAUACACAUGUGUACCAAUAACUAACAGCACUGCCUGAAUUUGGGCACAUAGUUUAAUGAAUCCCAUUCUGACAGUGAAAAACUGAGACUGAAUACACAAAAAAAUUUUUGCCACUUCACUACAAUGAGGGGGGGGAAAAAAGUGGUUGAACAGUCAUGUGAUGACAAACUCAAGUUCUAAUUCAAGAAAGCAUAGCUUAGAAACUUUUUGUGGUGAAGGAAUGAGUGUAGUC
rnacentral:lncRNA from 7 species